CCUACGGGUGGCAGCAGUGAGGAAUAUUGGUCAAUGGACGGAAGUCUGAACCAGCCAUGCCGCGUGCAGGAAGACGGCUCUAUGAGUUGUAAACUGCUUUUGUACAAGGGUAAACCUGAAUACGUGUAUUCAGCUGAAAGUACUGUACGAAUAAGGAUCGGCUAACUCCGUGCCAGCAGCCGCGGUAAUACGGAGGAUGCGAGCGUUAUCCGGAUUUAUUGGGUUUAAAGGGUGCGUAGGCGGAAGGUUAAGUCAGCGGUCAAAUGUCGGUGCUCAACACCGGCCUGCCGUUGAAACUGGUCUUCUUGAGUGAGCGAGAAGUAUGCGGAAUGCGUGGUGUAGCGGUGAAAUGCAUAGAUAUCACGCAGAACUCCGAUUGCGAAGGCAGCAUACCGGCGCUCAACUGACGCUGAGGCACGAAAGCGUGGGGAUCGAACAGGAUUAGAUACCCUUGUAGUC
rnacentral:rRNA from 1 species